rnacentral:snRNA from 1 species
GUGCUUGCUUUGGCAGCACAUAUACUAAAAAUUGGAAUGAUACAGAGAAGAUUAGCAUGGCCCCUGCACAAGGAUGACACGCAAAUUCAUGAAAUGGUCCAAAUUUUU